UAUCUUCGAUACUUGAAGGAGAGGUUAUCCGUGUUGUCUUCUCUUUAUUUAUGAUGAAACAUACACGGGAAACCUCUUUUUUAGUAUCAAAUCCCACC
rnacentral:pre_miRNA from 1 species